UACGUAGGUGGCAAGCGUUGUCCGGAAUUAUUGGGUUUAAAGGGUGCGUAGGCGGUCCAUUAAGUCAGCAGUGAAAUACGGCAGCUUAACUGUCGAGGUGCUGUUGAUACUGGUGGACUUGAGUACUGAUGAGGUAGGCGGAAUGGACGGUGUAGCGGUGAAAUGCUUAGAGAUCGUCCAGAACACCGAUAGCGAAGGCAGCUUACUAAAGAGUAACUGACGCUGAGGCACGAAAGUGUGGGGAUCAAACAGG
rnacentral:rRNA from 1 species